GGAGGCAGCCGCACAACUGGAGGCAGCUGUCCGGGGAGCAGGGAAGAGGAUGUGGAGACCAUUAUCCCGGCCGACGGUCACACAGAGAGACAGAGAGAGAGAGGCAGAGGGAGAAGCAGGCUCCAUGCACCGGGAGCCCGACGUGGGAUUCGAUUCCGGGUCUCCAAGAUCGCGCCCUGGGCCAAAGGCAGGUGCCAAACUGCUGCUCCACCCAGGGAUCCCUGAUUUUUCUUUUAGAUGAGCCAGAUUUUCUCAUUACUUACCUUAUUAUUUAUUGAGAAUAAGGCAGACCCUUAAAAAAGCUGCUUUAACUCAUUCUGAUUUCAUCUAUUCAUGAGAGACACAGAGAAGAAGGGAGAGACAUAGACAGAGGGAGAAGAAGGCUCUACGCGGGGAACUCAAUCCCAGGACUCUGGAAUCAUGACCCAAGACAAAGGCAGAUGCUCAACCACUGAGCCACCUAGAUGCCCCAACAAAAUGAUUUCUAAGAGGACAGUUCCUUUAGAGCAAUACUGAAUGCAACACACUAUUAGAAAGAAAUUGGACACAUCAUAAGAGUGUGCUGUCUGAAAGAUGCUACUGCAUCAAGUGUGAUGCACAUCACAUGUGUGAUGUGCUGCAGCAAGCCUGGCCAUUCCUUUACUGUCAAAUCCCAUUUUAUUUUGUUUUUGGUUUUGUUUAUUUCUUGCCUGUAAAUACCACCUAAAUACAGUAAUGGAUCUCAACAUUUCUUUCUAAUUUUAAAACAUGUCAUUGAUCAUUGUUAUCAGUUGUUAACUUUAAUGUCCACUUUAACUGGGAUAUGUAUACAUGCACAUGGAUAUAUACUUUGAUUCCUAGUAGCUGUCCUCAUCCUACACCCUAGAUUUCUAAGACAAAUAAUUACUGUUCUAUAUCUUUUAGCAUUUGACACAUAAAGUUGGUUCAGUACAUUAUGUAAUGACACGGAUGGUGGUAAAAUUAAUUUUCCUUAAAAAUGACAGCUACCAAAACAACCACAAAAGCCUAUGUUUUAUAACUUGGAAUAUACUUUCUUUUCUAGAAAAUAUUACAAAAAUAUUUGUUUACUGCUGGCCUUCUGUGAAUUCUUUGAAACCCACAACAAUUCCUAUAGCAUUCCUUAUAACCAUCAACUUGACCAGCUUCGUUACAAUGCAGUCAGGUCAAAUUUAUGAGUUAAGGAUCAUAUCUACAUUAGUUACCCCUCUCUUUAGUUUUCCGGACACCUGCCAAAACACAAAGCAAACAACUACUAGAAGUCCUUUCUUGUCAUCAUGAUGUCUUUCUUCUCCUCUCUCCUCUUCCUAGCCAUUAGACCUCACAAUCCUUUCUGGUCUCUGUGUAGUUCUACUUCUUUUCCUACCCACCUCUUUCCUAGCACCCCUUCAGCACCAGUCUAAUCCAAAGAGCUAACGGGGAUUUUGCCACAUUCGUCUUUUUAAAAUAAGGAUAUAGAGAAUAGAGAAGAAAAAUUUGCUUUAGAGUGAGA